UAAUACGUAGGGCGCAAGCGUUGUCCGGAUUCACUGGGUGUAAAGGGUGCGCAGGCGGACUGGCAAGUCAGGGGUGAAAUCUCACAGCUCAACUGUGAAACUGCCUUUGAUACUGCUGGUCUUGAGUCAGGGAGAGGUUGAUGGAAUUCCAGGUGUAGCGGUGAAAUGCGUAGAUAUCUGGAAGAACACCGGUGGCGAAGGCGGUCAACUGGCCCUGAACUGACGCUCAGGCACGAAAGCGUGGGGAUCAAACAGGAUUAGAUACCCUGGUAGUCCACGCCCUAAACGAUGAAUACUUGGUGUUGGCCUUUUUUGGUCAGUGCCGAAGGAAACCUGAUAAGUAUUCCACCUGGGGAGUACGCUCGCAAGGGUG
rnacentral:rRNA from 1 species